rnacentral:rRNA from 1 species
GACGAAGGUGGCUAGCGUUAUUCGGUGUCACUGGGCUUAAAGCGUAUGUAGGCGGAAAGAUAAGCGUUUUGUGAAAUCCCUCAGCUUAACUGAGGAAUUGCUUGACGAACUAUCUUUCUUGAGGCAAGUAGGGGUGCAUGGAACUCUUGGUGGAGCGGUGGAAUGCGUAGAUAUCAAGAGGAACGCCAAUGGAGAAAUCAGUGCACUGGGCUUGUCCUGACGCUCAGAUACGAAAGCGUGGGUAGCGAACGGG